CUCCUCUAUGCUAGGCACACACUGAACGUGCAGUACGUAAUAGUGACGGUGUGGACGUGAGCCCUGUCCUCAAGAUGCUUAGAGUAUGAUGUGGGUGUCAAAAAUAGUGGGAGAGAUAAGGGACAUUCGAUAAGAUAUCCAGCCAGUACAAGGACUGAGAGACUGUCAGAGACCAAAGGAGAUUAAGGAGACGUGAUGACUAAAUGCAAUAUGGUACCCUGGAUUGGAUCCUGGAACAGAAGGAGGACAUUCAUGGAAAAACUGGUGAAAUUCACGUCUGGAAUUUAGUUAACAGUAACGGACCAAUGUUGGAAGCAACAAAACGUGACCCUGGUACCUGUCCGUUGUGAGACCCGGAUGUUCAGCUUUCCUUCUAUUAGAUGAGAUCCCGUAGGUUCACGUGAGACGAGACAUCACAGAUUCGGAGUGCCAGGAAGAGAAUGGAAUGUGUCACCUGUUUGUCCCGCAACGAGAGAGGGCAAAGCACCUUCCAUAAUUAUCCUAUAGAGACUGAAGGAGACCUUACCAAGAUCCUGGCCUAGAGGAGAAAGACCAAAGCUUAGCCUGUUUCGCUGCCUGCCACAAUGGAUGCUGAAGAAAAUACUGAAUUUGUGUGCCCAUCUCAGAAGCACAGAGCUCAGAGGGGUAUAAGUGUAAAUUCAAACCCCAGAGACACAAGGGUGCUAAGACCAGACGGGCCCUUGGAGAUCAAUCAAAUAUCCUGUGUUUCUUGAAUGGGCAUAGACACAUAUGUCCAUCCCAUGCCAAAAUUUGAUUAUAUUGCGUCCUACUGCUGUGCGAAUUUUCCUUGGAGGUUGUUAUGUUAGAUUAGAAUAAACACAAACAUACAUGGAUUUUUGUGGUCUCUUGUUUAUCCUUAAGAAGUUUCGCUCCUAAGUUCAGCUGGCUUGAGUUCCAUCUCCAGCUGUUCAAAGUUGACUCCAACACAUUUUAUAGAUGGGAAAACCGAGGCCCAGUGGGAGGAGACCCUUGACCAAGGUCACACAGUGAGCAAAUCUCAGGGCCAAUCCUGCAACCAGGCCGCCUCCUUUUCCAGCCCAAUUAAGAAGGAAAGAAAGAGCUAAGGGAGGACAAAAAUGUGGUGGUGGCUUUGGUUUCCUUUUAUUUUAAAUCAAGAGUAAUUUUUUUUUUCCAGAUCUAUCCUUGGGUUUUUGGUCUGCAGCUCUGAGAAGGUAGAU
rnacentral:lncRNA from 1 species